rnacentral:rRNA from 1 species
GCUACGGGUGGCAGCAGUGAGGAAUAUUGGUCAAUGGGCGCGAGCCUGAACCAGCCAAGUCGCGUGAGUGAAGAAGGUCCUAUGGAUUGUAAACCUCUUUUGUCUGGGAGCAAAAGACGCCAAGCGUGGCGUUCCGAGAGUACACGAAGAAAAAUCAUAGGCUAACUCCGUGCCAGAAGCCGCGGUAAUAAGGAUGAUGCGAGCGUUAUCCGGAUUUAUAGGGUUUAAAGGGUGCGCAGGCCGAAGAUCAAGUCAGAGGUAAAAUUGAGAGGCUCAACCUCUUCGAGCCGUUGAAACUGGUUUGCUUGAGUGAGCGAGAAGUAUGCGGAAUGCGUGGUGUAGCGGUGAAA